rnacentral:rRNA from 2 species
GUCGAACGAGUUCUCGUUGAUGAUCGGUGCUUGCACCGAGAUUCAACAUGGAACGAGUGGCGGACGGGUGAGUAACACGUGGGUAACCUGCCCUUAAGUGGGGGAUAACAUUUGGAAACAGAUGCUAAUACCGCAUAGAUCCAAGAACCGCAUGGUUCUUGGCUGAAAGAUGGCGUAAGCUAUCGCUUUUGGAUGGACCCGCGGCGUAUUAGCUAGUUGGUGAGGUAAUGGCUCACCAAGGCGAUGAUACGUAGCCGAACUGAGAGGUUGAUCGGCCACAUUGGGACUGAGACACGGCCCAAACUCCUACGGGAGGCAGCAGUAGGGAAUCUUCCACAAUGGACGCAAGUCUGAUGGAGCAACGCCGCGUGAGUGAAGAAGGCUUUCGGGUCGUAAAACUCUGUUGUUGGAGAAGAAUGGUCGGCAGAGUAACUGUUGUCGGCGUGACGGUAUCCAACCAGAAAGCCACGGCUAACUACGUGCCAGCAGCCGCGGUAAUACGUAGGUGGCAAGCGUUAUCCGGAUUUAUUGGGCGUAAAGCGAGCGCAGGCGGUUUUUUAAGUCUGAUGUGAAAGCCCUCGGCUUAACCGAGGAAGCGCAUCGGAAACUGGGAAACUUGAGUGCAGAAGAGGACAGUGGAACUCCAUGUGUAGCGGUGAAAUGCGUAGAUAUAUGGAAGAACACCAGUGGCGAAGGCGGCUGUCUGGUCUGUAACUGACGCUGAGGCUCGAAAGCAUGGGUAGCGAACAGGAUUAGAUACCCUGGUAGUCCAUGCCGUAAACGAUGAAUGCUAGGUGUUGGAGGGUUUCCGCCCUUCA